GGGCAGGUGCCCUUAAAUCUGUCGUUAAAAGGCUCUCGGUCCCUGCAGGCGAUGUGGAUGUUCCGCGCCGCUCCUCCGGCCCCUCUGCGGGGCGGGAGGAGACGCCCCUGCGCCCCGCCGGCUCCCUCGGCGUUUGCCGAUUACCUGCAGAGUGCAGAGUCGCGGAAGCCCGAGCGCUUCUUAAAACCACGCCAAGACGGCAGGAAAGGCCGAGCAAGCGAGGGAGGCGGGCGGUGCUGCGGCGAGCGGGCUGAGAGCUGCACCCUUAGCCGACGAGGUGAUGGAGAUUGUCGAGGAAGUAUAUUGAUGAAGAAGAUGAAG
ensembl:lncRNA